UAACCCUGGUGUCUUUGCGAAUAAGUCUUUCGCCUUUAAUUAAAGAUUUCCGUAGGGAGGCACAACACAAUGAGUCUUAUUUCAUUUUGUUUGCAGCUGUGUCUUCAGACAGAG
rnacentral:snRNA from 1 species